rnacentral:rRNA from 1 species
GACGAACGCUGGCGGCGUGCCUAAUACAUGCAAGUAGAACGCUGAAGGAGGAGCUUGCUUCUCCGGAUGAGUUGCGAACGGGUGAGUAACGCGUAGGUAACCUGCCUGGUAGCGGGGGAUAACUAUUGGAAACGAUAGCUAAUACCGCAUAAGAGUAGAUGUUGCAUGACAUUUGCUUAAAAGGUGCAAUUGCAUCACUACCAGAUGGACCUGCGUUGUAUUAGCUAGUUGGUGGGGUAACGGCUCACCAAGGCGACGAUACAUAGCCGACCUGAGAGGGUGAUCGGCCACACUGGGACUGAGACACGGCCCAGACUCCUACGGGAGGCAGCAGUAGGGAAUCUUCGGCAAUAGACGGAAGUCUGACCGAGCAACGCCGCGUGAGUGAAGAAGGUUUUCGGAUCGUAAAGCUCUGUUGUAAGAGAAGAACGAGUGUGAGAGUGGAAAGUUCACACUGUGACGGUAUCUUACCAGAAAGGGACGGCUAACUACGUG